GACGGAGGGGGCUAGUGUUAUUCGGAAUUACUGGGCGUAAAGGGCAUGUAGGCGGAGAAUUAAGUUGGAAGUGAAAUCCCAAAGCUUAACUUUGGAACGGCUUUCAAAACUGAUUCACUUGAGGUCGAUAGAGGAUAGUGGAAUUUCUAGUGUAGAGAUAAAAUUCAUAAAUAUUAGAAGGAACACCAGUGGCGAAGGCGACUAUCUGGAUCGAUACUGACGCUGAGAUGCGAAAGCAUGGGGAGCAAAC
rnacentral:rRNA from 1 species